UACGGGGGGGGCAAGCGUUGUUCGGAAUUACUGGGCGUAAAGGGUCUGUAGGUGGCUUGCUAAGUCAGACGUGAAAUCCCUCGGCUUAACCGGGGAACUGCGUCUGAUACCGGCGAGCUUGAGUGCAGGAGAGGAACGCGGAAUUCCAGGUGUAGCGGUGAAAUGCGUAGAUAUCUGGAGGAACACCGGUGGCGAAGGCGGCGUUCUGGACUGCAACUGACACUGAGAGACGAAAGCCAGGGGAGCAAACGGG
rnacentral:rRNA from 1 species